rnacentral:rRNA from 1 species
CCCUUAGAUGUUCUGGGCCGCACGCGCGCUACACUGAUGCAUUCAACGAGUUUCUUCCUGGUCCGAGAGGAAUGGGUAACCUUUUGAAAGUGCAUCGUGAUAGGGAUAGACUAUUGCAAUUAUUGGUCUUCAACGAGGAAUUCCUAGUAGACGUAGUUCAUCAGACUGCAUCGAUUACGUCCCUGCCCUUUGUACACACCGCCCGUCGCUACUACCGAUUGAAUGGCUUAGUGAGGCCUCAGGAUCCGCGCUUAAUGUGUGGAGAAUUUGGACAAACUACGUCAUUUAGAGGAAGUAAAAGUCGUAACA